UUGCAGGGAUUUUGCUGUUAACUUUAUGUUUAACUUUUUGAGGAACUCACAAAUGUUUUUCCAAAUGACUGCACCAUUUGACAUUCUUACC